UACGGGGGGAGCAAGCGUUGUUCGGAUUUACUGGGCGUAAAGGGCGCGUAGGCGGUCAGCACAAGGCAGUUGUGAAAUCUCCGGGCUUAACUCGGAAAGGUCAACUGAUACUGUGCGACUAGAGUGCAGAAGGGGCAACUGGAAUUCUCGGUGUAGCGGUGAAAUGCGUAGAUAUCGAGAGGAACACCGGUGGCGAAGGCGGGUCUCUGGGCCGAAAUUGACGCUGAGGAGCGAAAGCGUGGGGAGCAAACAGG
rnacentral:rRNA from 1 species